GCCCCUCAAGUUUCGCUUUUUGAAACUUUCUGGAAUUUUCUUUUUUCCAAAUAGUUUCAGGACGUAGAACCCACUGUCAGCAGACUGCCAACUGUAUUAGCAAAACAGAGGCUGGUUUCUCUUGAAGGUGUCAGGUUCCCAUGUUAAAGAAUGUGAGAUUCUAGGUGAUGCAUUUUGCCAAAUCUCUCUGGCCGGACCACAAUAGGUGUAGCUGGAUGAGCAGGCUCUCUGCAGGGAGGUGAAGCGGUGUGGAGCAGAAGAAAGGGGCCAAGGACGAAGGAACAUUGUCCUGCUUGUCCGAGGCAGCCUGCAGCCCAAAAGGCACAUGAUGGGAACGACAAAGAAGAGCUUUGCACCAUCUUCUGAAUGGUUUUGACUAGUUAUAAUAAGAUUGGGUUAUUUUUAGUAAUUGACUAUGCCUAGAAGCCUUUUCUGACGCUUCAAAGGAGAUAAGCAAAGUUGCAUACGAAUGAAACUGAGGUGUAUGCUGGGUAUACGCAGGGAGAUUAUCCUAAAUGAUCCAGGAAUUAGAGGCUGGCCUGGGAGCAGAUAUCUGGUAAUUCUAAGCCUUACGUUUUCCAACGACGUCAUUCCCCACCUGGCUGAUGCCCAGAAAUUUCAUCUUUUCAGACUGAACGGUGAACAGUACAUUUUCUCUUUAUUUGAACACGUGGCUCUAUGUUAAUGACGACUUGGAGGGCCACACCUGGGAGAUGUGGGCCCAGAGUGGUGAUCUUCACGGGAGCUCAAAACACUUGUCAUUUAAAACUUUGGUUUGUGACUUUUCACUUGUGAGGGCAUAUGAUAUGCAUGGGUGUUAUUGUGGUACCUGUAUGCAAAUCGAGACUUAGUGAAGUAUGGUAUUCUUAGAGCUACUGGUCAAGGCAAUGCGAAAUAGAUCUUUUUGCAUAAAAAAUUACUGUCGUUUAGAUAAAUGUACCUUUUGGCAUAUCGCAAAGAGUUUUGAAAUUUGAAUUUUAAUUCCUUUUUAUUUUUUUUGGAGAAUGGUCUUUGAGGUCUUGGUCUUAUGGGAUGGCUUCUAUUUCUCAAACUAUGUAAAAAGAUUUUUAACAAUCCCUUGUUAUGAUCUUUUAUUGUAUAUUUAUAGAUAUUUCUAUUUAUUCAGCAGUGUUUGGAGCACGUAUCGUGUGCUAGCCAUUGUUUUAAAUGAUGGGAAACAGCAGGAAACUAGAGGAGCAGAAAUCCUUGUGGUCAUGGAGUCAGACAAUAAACAAGAUAUUGCAAUAUGUGAUAAUGGUCUGGUAAUCAAAACCAGAAUAAUGAUGAUGCCACAAUAGACCAAUGGAUUGAAAUAGAAGACCCCAAAGCAUGUCGUCUCGCGAGAGGACACUCAGGCAGCUCUGGAGGGGACCCUGUGACGAGGAACUGAGACCCACAGCCAGCAAGAACCCAGGCCUAACAAUGAACAGUAGAUGCAGGAAGAGGCUGGAGAAAUUUGCGUUUCUAAUACGUUCCAAGGUGAUGCUGAAGCUGCUGUUCUGGGAACCACACUUUGAGAACCACUGCCUUAAAAUAUGUCUUUCAUCUAAUGAACCUUUGGAAAACAGGUACAGUUCCUCACAGGAGGAGAAAAUUGGUCUUCCUGCAUCAGUGGAUAAUUUGGCCGAUCAGAAAUAAUGCUUCUGAUGCCCCGACGGACAGAGCCCUCGGUGUGUGUGCUGAGACAGUGCUGGCAGCCCCGCAGCCCUGCCUGCUGCUCCAUUGCUGGUUUUCUGGGCUACAGGCAAUCGAUGGGCAGUAUAGUGUAUGAUGUAGACAUCGUGCAUCUGGUUUUCAGCAAGAUGUUUAAAAAUCCCCCUUUGUUUUCCUGUGGGUAAGCUGGAGAAAUAUGGGCUAGAAGAUAAUUCACCAUUAGGUCCUAAAUCAAUACCAAACCGGAAUGAUUUAAAAAUAACAACCUUGUGGCCAUCCAUCUGGCAUCUUUGUGGACCAGCAGGAUUUUAUGAGCUGAGAAGCUAAAGCCCUGGCACGUAACAUAAGUUCCAGGAUGAAUUAGAAUGUCUUGGGCCAGACAAGCCACUGUGACGUUGACCAGACUGUGAAGAGGCAGGAUGAGAAUUUGGGAGAAGGCACUUCAUCUUCUCGGUGGGAAACCAAGUAACGUAUAAACCAGAGGGAUGCAAUGACCAGCUCCUGUGGGCAUCCC